ACGGGUGAGUAACGCGUGGGUAACCUACCCCUAAGUUGGGGAUAACCUUCCGAAAGGAGGGCUAAUCCGCAAUGUGUUCACCGGCCCGGGAGGGAAGGUGAAUAAAGGUGGCCUUGGUGCUGCCGCUUAGGGAUGGGCCCGCGUCCCAUUAGCUAGUUGGUGGGGUAACGGCCUACCAAGGCGACGAUGGGUAGCCGGCCUGAGAGGGUGGCCGGCCACACUGGGACUGAGACACGGCCCAGACUCCUACGGGAGGCAGCAGUGGGGAAUAUUGCGCAAUGGGGGAAACCCUGACGCAGCGACGCCGCGUGGGUGAAGAAGGCCUUCGGGUCGUAAAGCCCUGUCACCGGGGAAGAAACCUCUAGGGGUUAAAAGCCUUUAGAGCUGACGGUACCCGGGGAGGAAGCCCUGGCUAACUACGUGCCAGCAGCCGCGGUAACACGUAGAGGGCAAGCGUUGUCCGGAAUUACUGGGCGUAAAGCGUGCGUAGGUGGCAGAGCAAGUCAUAUGUGAAAUCUCGGGGCUCAACCCCGAGCCUGCGUAUGAAACUGCUUUGCUGGAGGGCAGGAGAGGAGAGCGGAAUUCCUAGUGUAGCGGUGAAAUGCGUAGAUAUUAGGAAGAACGCCAGUGGCGAAGGCGGCUCUCUGGCCUGACCCUGACGCUGAGGUGCGAAAGCUGGGGGAGCGAACGGGAUUAGAUA
rnacentral:rRNA from 1 species